rnacentral:lncRNA from 1 species
GGGGGGAGAAAAAUGGAUGUUGGGCUUUUAUUUUUGUUAUUUUUGUUGUUGGGCUAAAGAUUGGGCUUUUUCAUUUUAAUUUCUUUGGGCUUUUGUUUUAUUUUAUCUUGGGCUGAAGUUAAAUUAAUUAGAAUGGGCUGGAGAUUUAUUCAUUGGGCCAUGCAUUAUUUAAUUGAGUCCAAUCGUUUAUUCAGUAAUUGGGCCGAUUUUAUUCACUGUUCGGGCCUCGUAUUUUAUUCCGUUGGGCCGCCUCAUAUAUGUUCUAUAGGCCGUCCAGAUUUAUUUAUUCAUUUGAGCCAAUUAUUUAAUUCACACAUU